rnacentral:rRNA from 1 species
CCUACGGGAGGCAGCAGUGAGGAAUAUUGGUCAAUGGGCGCGAGCCUGAACCAGCCAAGUCGCGUGAAGGAUGACUGCCCUACGGGUUGUAAACUUCUUUUAUAAAGGAAUAAAGUGAGGCACGUGUGCCUUUUUGUAUGUACUUUAUGAAUAAGGAUCGGCUAACUCCGUGCCAGCAGCCGCGGUAAUACGGGGGAUCCGAGCGUUAUCCGGAUUUAGGGGGGUAAAGGGAGCGUAGAUGGGUUGUUAAGUCAGUUGUGACAGUGUGGGGCUCAACCGUAGAAGUGCAAUUGAUACUGGCAGCCUGGAGUACAGUUGAGGUAGGCGGAAUGCGUGGUGUAGCGGUGAAAUGCUUAGAUAUCACGAAGAACUCCGAUUGCGAAGGCAGCUUACUAAACUGCCACUGACAUUGAUGCUCGAAAGUGUGGGUAUCAAACAGGAUUAGAUACCCUUGUAGUC